rnacentral:rRNA from 1 species
UACGUAGGGUGCGAGCGUUAAUCGGAAUAACUGGGCGUAAAGGGUGAGUAGGCGGAAUUAUAAGUUAGUAGUGAAAUACCCGGGCUUAACCUGGGAGGUGCUAUUAAGACUGUAGAUCUAGAGUACGUGAGAGGGGGUAGGAAUUCCAAGUGUAGCAGUGAAAUGCGUAGAGAUUUGGAGGAACACCGAUGGCGAAGGCAUACCCCUGGCAUGAUACUGACGCUGAGUCACGAAAGCGUGGGUAGCAAACAGG